rnacentral:rRNA from 1 species
CCUACGGGUGGCAGCAGUGGGGAAUAUUGCACAAUGGGCGCAAGCCUGAUGCAGCCAUGCCGCGUGUGUGAAGAAGGCCUUCGGGUUGUAAAGCACUUUCAGCGGGGAGGAAGGCGGUGAGGUUAAUAACCUCAUCGAUUGACGUUACCCGCAGAAGAAGCACCGGCUAACUCCGUGCCAGCAGCCGCGGUAAUACGGAGGGUGCAAGCGUUAAUCGGAAUUACUGGGCGUAAAGCGCACGCAGGCGGUCUGUCAGGUCGGAUGUGAAAUCCCCGGGCUCAACCUGGGAACUGCAUUCGAAACUGGCAGGCUAGAGUCUUGUAGAGGGGGGUAGAAUUCCAGGUGUAGCGGUGAAAUGCGUAGAGAUCUGGAGGAAUACCGGUGGCGAAGGCGGCCCCCUGGACAAAGACUGACGCUCAGGUGCGAAAGCGUGGGGAGCAAACAGGAUUAGAUACCCUAGUAGUC